UCAAGCUACCGGAGGCGCACGGAGAAUGCCUUGGCACCAGAAGGCGAUGAAGGACGUGAUAAGCUGCGAUAAGCCCCGGGGAGCCGCACAUAGGCGCUCGGACCCGGGGAUGUCCGAAUGGGGUAACCCAGCCGGGGUAAUGCCCGGCUUCGCCGGCCUGAAUUCAUAGGGCCGGUUUGAGCCAUACCCGCUGAAGUGAAACAUCUCAGUAAGCGGAGGAGAAGAAAACGACUGUGAUUCCGUCAGUAGUGGCGAGCGAAAGCGGAAGAGCCUAAACCGGGGGGCUUGCUCCCCGGGGUUGUAGGGCUGCGAUAUGGGAUCCGGACGGUUAGGCGAAGCGGAUGGAAAGCCGCUCCCCAGAGGGUGAAAGGCCCGUAACCGAAAACCGAAAGGACCCUAGCAGUACCCUGAGUAACGCGAUGCACGUGAAACUUCGCGUGAACCCGUCCCGACCACGGGAUAAGGCUAAAUACUCUCUGGUGACCGAUAGUGAACAAGUACCGCGAGGGAAAGGUGAAAAGAACCGCUGUGAGCGGAGUGAAAGAGAACCUGCAACCGUGUGCCGACAAGGUGUCAGAGCCCCGCAAGGGGUGAUGGCGUGCCUUUUGCUUAAUGAGUCUGCGAGUUAUUGUCUGUGGCGUGCCGAAGGACUUCUGGUCCCGAGGCCCAGCGAAAGCGAGUCCGAAAUGGGCGAAUUUGUCGCAGGCAGUAGACCCGAAGCGGAGGUGAUCUACCCAUGGUCAGGAUGAAGUCCCGGUAACACGGGAUGGAGGUCCGAACUGGUGAGCGUUGAAAAGCUCUCGGAUGAACUGUGGGUAGGAGCGAAAGACUAAUCAAACCCCGUGAUAGCUGGUUCUCCCCGAAAUAGCUUGAGGGCUAGCCUGGCGUGCUGACCCAUGGAGGUAGAGCACUGGAUGGACGAGGGCCCAUACCCGGGUACCGAAUCCAAUCAAACUCCGAAUGCCAUGGGGCGCAGCGCCGGAGUCAGACGGCGGGGGAUAAGCUUCGUCGUCGAGAGGGAAACAGCCCAGACCGUCAGCUAAGGUGCCUAACGACCGCUCAGUGGAAAGGAUGUGGGAUUUCUUAGACAGUGAGGAUGUUGGCUUAGAGGCAGCCAUCAUUUAAACAAAGCGUAACAGCUGACUCAUCGAGAGAUCCCGCGCCGAAAAUGAUUGGCGAUCAAGCGGUCGACCGAAGCUACGGACUCCAUCCCGGUUCGCCGGGGUGGAUUGGUAGGGGAGCGUUCUGUACGCAUCGAAGCGGAAGGGAAACCGACCGUGGAGUGUACGGAAGUGAGGAUGCAGACAUGAGUAGCGAUCAUCCCGGUGAAAUUCCGGGACGCCGUAAACCCAAGGUUUCCUGGGGAAGGUUCGUCCUCCCAGGGUUAGUCGGGUCCUAAGUCGAGGCCGCACGGCGUAGACGAUGGGCAGCAGGUUCAAUAUUCCUGCACCACCGACAUUUAACCGAUGAAGACGCAGAGAUGGAGAGGGGCGAGGUGUUGAACGUCCUUGUCCCGCAAGGGGACGCGGAGGCCACGGCCGAAGCGGAUUCCUCAAAGUCCCUGCCGAGAAAACUCAUCGGGUAUACUAAGGUGCCCGUACCGUAAACCGACACAGGUGGGUGAGUAGAAUAUACUAAGGUGCGCGAGUGAACCCUCUUCAAGGAACUCGGCAAUCUAACCCCGUAACUUCGGAAGAAGGGGUGCCCGUCGCAAGACGGGUCGCAGAGAAAUGGGCCUACCGACUGUUUAGCAAAAACACAGCACUCUGCUAAGUCGUGAAGACGACGUAUAGGGUGUGACACGUGACCAAUGCCGAAAGAUUACGGUGAGAGGUCAGCCGCAAGGCGAAGCUUCGAACCCAAGUCCCGGUGAAUGUCGGCCGUAACUAUAACGGUCCUAAGGUAGCGAAAUUCCUUGUCGGGUAAGUUCCGACCUGCACGAAUCGUGUAACGAGUGGGCCGCUGUCUCGAAGAGGCGCUCGGCGAAGUUGUAGUGGCGGUGAAGAUGCCGCCUACCCGCAGUAGGACGGAAAGACCCCGUGCACCUUUACUGUAAGCUGUCGCUGGAUUUUCGUUCGGAAUACUUAGCGUAAGUGGGAGACGUUGAUCCUUGGGUUUCGGCCUAAGGGGAGUCGCCAAUGAAACACCACCUUUUCUUCAUGAAGAUUCUAACCCUUGCCCGUGAUCCGGGCGGGGGACCACGGCAGCGGGUCAGUUUGACUGGGGCGGUUUCCUCCUAAAGAGUAACGGAGGAGUGCUAUGGUUCCCUCAGCAUGGUUGGCAAUCAUGCGUCGAGCGUAUGGGUAGAUGGGAGCCUGACUGCGAGACCUACAAGUCGAGCAGGGACGAAAGUCGGCCCAAGUGAUCCGGUGGUUGAAUGUGGAAUCGCCAUCGCUCAUCGGACAAAAGGUACGCCGGGGAUAACAGGCUGAUCGCGCCCAAGAGUUCAUAUCGACGGCGCGGUUUGGCACCUCGAUGUCGGCUCAUCGCAUCCUGGGGCUGGAGAAGGUCCCAAGGGUCCGGCUGUUCGCCGGUUAAAGCGGUACGCGAGCUGGGUUCAGAACGUCGUGAGACAGUUCGGUCCUUAUCCACUGUGGGCGCAGGAAAUGUGACGGGUUCAUUCCCUAGUACGAGAGGACCGGGAAUGACGCACCUCUGGUGUUCCGGUUGUCGCGUCCGCGGCAGCGCCGGGUAGCUAUGUGCGGAAGGGAUAAGCGCUGAAAGCAUCUAAGCGCCAAGCCCAUCCGAAGAUGACAUUUCCCCAUUAGGGACGUGGUAGACCACCACGUUGAUAGGUCGCGAGUGGAAGCACGGUAACGUGUUGAGCUGAGCGAUACUAAUUUCCCGAUUGGCUUGAUCUC
rnacentral:rRNA from 1 species